rnacentral:rRNA from 1 species
UACGGGGGGGGCAAGCGUUGUUCGGAAUUACUGGGCGUAAAGGGCUCGUAGGCGGCCAACUAAGUCGGACGUGAAAUCCCCAGGCUCAACCUGGGAACUGCGUCUGAUACUGGAUGGCUUGAGUUUGGGAGAGGGACGCGGAAUUCCAGGUGUAGCGGUGAAAUGCGUAGAUAUCUGGAGGAACACCGGUGGCGAAGGCGGCGUCCUGGACCAACACUGACACUGAGGAGCGAAAGCCAGGGGAGCAAACGGG